rnacentral:rRNA from 1 species
UACAGAGGGUGCAAGCGUUAAUCGGAAUUACUGGGCGUAAAGCGUGCGUAGACGGUUACAUAAGUCGGGUGUGAAAGCCCCGGGCUCAACCUGGGAAUUGCAUUCGAGACUGCGUAGCUAGGGUGCGGAAGAGGGAAGCGGAAUUUCCGGUGUAGCGGUGAAAUGCGUAGAUAUCGGAAGGAACACCAGUGGCGAAAAGCGGCUUCCUGGUCCAGCACCGGACGUCAGGCACGAAAGCGUGGGGAGCAAACAGGG